GCUCGCUCUAACACUGCACAGCAAGUAGUGCCUGUGGGGGGGGACAGGCACCCUCACCGCUGCCUUUUCCAAGUGCUUCUCGUCGCCAAACGCAUUUCACGGACGUUUUCUUUCCAUUUCUCGUCACUUCCAAAGCCUUUGCACGCACAGAGCGGCUGCAAAGCUCUCAGGGACCGGGAAAUAAACGAGAUGAAAGCACGUCGGGUUAAAGAGCCUUGAAAAGAUUUCGCAACGGGAAGGAGGAAGAAGCUGCGAAUCUCUGAAGUGCCGGCCCAGGGAAUAAAGGCACCGUCAUUCCUCUGGGAAGUUUUGGGGAGCCCUUCCCAACGAGAGGGGCACAGUUCCAGCUCUGGUGUUGGGCUGAUGGUGUCCUCAGGACUACAGAUCUUGUCUAUAAAACCACUGUGAAAGCCACCCCAAAGAGAUGUGUUCCCGUCUGUCUGUCUGCCUGUCUGUUACAGUGGUCAAACAAUUUUAACAAAAGCUGAUCAACAGUGUUUGAAUUGGAGAGAAGAAAGGAAGGAAAUGAUGUGUGGACAGGGAGAGUCAAUCAUCUGAAAGAUCAGUUCCAACAGAUUCAUGGAAAUUAACCUCUUUCAUCAUCAUCAGUCACCAGUGAUGCUCCUGCAGGCCCUUGGCUACACAAACAAGGACUGGGCAAACCAGGAAAAUUCAGGACCAAAGUUAGUGGGGUGCACAUUAUUUUAGCACCCAAACUGAGUUCCAGGAGAAAAGCCAGUAUGGUCAAAUAA